rnacentral:rRNA from 1 species
UGCGUAACGCGUAUGCAACCUACCUUAAUCGGGGGGAUAGCCCGAAGAAAUUCGGAUUAACACCGCAAAAAAUCACAGUACAGCAUUGUACAAUGAUCAAAUAUUUAUAGGAUUAAGAUGGGCAUGCGUGUCAUUAUUUAGUUGGCGAGGUAACGGCUCACCAAGACCACGAUGACUAGGGGAUCUGAGAGGAUGACCCCCCACACUGGUACUGAGACACGGACCACACUCCUACGGGAGGCAGCAGUAAAGAAUAUUGGUCAAUGGAGGCAACUCUGAACCAGCCAUGCCGCGUGCAGGAAGACAGCCCUCUGGGUCGUAAACUGCUUUUAUUCGGGAAUAAACCUACUUACGUGUAAGUAGCUGAAUGUACCGAAGGAAUAAGGAUCGGCUAACUCCGUGCCAGCAGCCGC